UCUGGAAUAAUUCCGGCUAUCAGAUUAUCAGGGAAAGGAACAAGCAACAGCCCGGGGCCAAACGACAAGCCCACGAUUAAUGCAGAUGCCAUCAUCUUCACUACCGAUGUCGUCAUCGAUGCACUGUUCAGGCUGCUGGAGCUCUAGCUCGAGUAAAAGACAGGUUAGAUAUCUGUGCUAUAUACUGCUAUACCUCUGAAUUUAUUACCGUGCAUUAUUUGACCUGGCUUAGUUAUUGGGAAUAUCAUCAGGAUUUAUGAAUGAUCUGUUGCCGGUUGGGUGAAAGAAGCCCAUGUC
rnacentral:sRNA from 1 species